rnacentral:rRNA from 1 species
AAUUUUGCGCAAUGGGCGAAAGCCUGACGCAGCAACGCCGCGUGAAUGUUAAGCCCUUCGGGGUGUAAAGUUCUGUCAGUGGGGACGAAACUUGACGGUACCCACAGAGGAAGCACCGGCUAACUCCGUGCCAGCAGCCGCGGUAAUACGGGGGGUGCAAGCGUUGUCCGGAAUCAUUGGGCGUAAAGAGUUCGUAGGUGGCAUGUUAAGUCUGGUGUUAAAUCCCGAAGCUCAACUUCGGUCCGGCGCUGGAUACUGGCACGCUUGAAUGCGGUAGAGGUAAAGGGAAUUCCUGGUGUAGCGGUGAAAUGCGUAGAUAUCAGGAGGAACAUCGGUGGCGAAAGCGCUUUACCGGGCCGUUAUUGACGCUGAGGAACGAAAGCCGGGGUAGCAAAUGGG